CGGGUGCACUGAUCCGGCCGGGCCUUUCCCUCUGUGGAACCCCAUGGCCUUCACUGGCUGUGCGGGGGAAACAGGACUUUUACUGUGAAAAAAUUAGAGUGCUCCAGGCAGGCCUAUGCUCGAAUACAUUAGCAUGGAAUAUAGAUAGGACGCGUGGUUCUAUUUUGUUGGUUUCUAGGACCGCCGUAAUGAUUAUAGGGACAGUCGGGGGCAUCAGUAUUCAAUUGUCAGAGGUGAAAUUCUUGGAUCUAUUGAAGACUAACUACUGCGAAAGCAUUUGCCAAGGAUGUUUUCAUUGAUAAGGAACGAAAGUUAGGGGAUCGAAGACGAUCAGAUACCGUCGUAGUCUUAACUAUAAACUAUGCCGACUAGGGAUCGGACGAUGUUAUUUCUUGACGCGUUCGGCACCUUUCGAGAAAUCAAAGUGCUUGGGCUCCAGGGGGAGUAUGGUCGCAAGGCUGAAACUUAAAGAAAUUGACGGAAGGGCACCACCAGGGGUGGAACCUGCGGCUUAAUUUGACUCAACACGGGGAAACUCACCAGGUCCAGACACAAUGAGGAUUGACAGAUUGAGAGCUCUUUCUUGAUUUUGUGGGUGGUGGUGCAUGGCCGUUCUUAGUUGGUGGAGUGAUUUGUCUGCUUAAUUGCGAUAACGAACGAGACCUUAACCUGCUAAAUAGCCCGUACUGCUCUGGCAGUUCGCCGGCUUCUUAGAGGGACUAUCGG
rnacentral:rRNA from 1 species